AUGCAGAUCAAACUGUGCACCUCAGUUGAUGUCAGCUACUGAGACCUGCUGGAAUCUACAGGUCAUGAAUGUCCAAUCUUUUGACUUGUCCGAGUGGCAC